GAUGAACGCUGGCGGCGUGCCUAAUACAUGCAAGUCGAGCGAACAGACGAGGAGCUUGCUCCUCUGACGUUAGCGGCGGACGGGUGAGUAACACGUGGAUAACCUACCUAUAAGACUGGGAUAACUUCGGGAAACCGGAGCUAAUACCGGAUAAUAUAUUGGACCGCAUGGUUCAAUAGUGAAAGACGGUUUUGCUGUCACUUAUAGAUGGAUCCGCGCCGCAUUAGCUAGUUGGUAAGGUAACGGCUUACCAAGGCAACGAUGCGUAGCCGACCUGAGUGGGUGAUCGGCCACACUGGAACUGAGACACGGUCCAGACUCCUACGGGAGGCAGCAGUAGGGAAUCUUCCGCAAUGGGCGAAAGCCUGACGGAGCAACGCCGCGUGAGUGAUGAAGGUCUUCGGAUCGUAAAACUCUGUUAUUAGGGAAGAACAAAUGUGUAAGUAACUAUGCACGUCUUGACGGUACCUAAUCAGAAAGCCACGGCUAACUACGUG
rnacentral:rRNA from 1 species